rnacentral:lncRNA from 1 species
UUCACUGACGUGCACUGACCAAUUCUCAAUGAUGUUUUCAUGGUUUGCAGAACAUACCAAGAGUUAGCUAAGAAAUCAUUUCAACAGGAGACUUUCAUUGGGAAUGUCAAUGAGCCUUAUAUUAUCUUCAUAUUUCGUGAACUUAACAUUGUUAUUUUGAGAACUCUAGCAGAAAAGAAUGCAUGUUCUUUGCGAGGACAGAAUCAAGGUACCAAAGAGAAAAAUCAACCAGAGAAUAAGCAGC